UUCACGUGCACAAAGAAGUAGCGGUAUUUACGUUACGCGGAGUUUUACUUUGUAACACUGUAACCACACUGGCGCGUUUCCAUACAUCACGUCACUGUAAUUGAACACGUGAUCAAAUGUUAUGACUUUGCGAAUAACUCAGAAGUAAUCCGUGUGAUCUUCAGCUGUGCUGUCUUCUCUGGAUGGAUGCACGCUCUAACGUGCACGAUUAUCCUCCUGUCCAAGGGAACAGGAAAACACAGAGCCACGAGGGAGGACACGACAAGGAACAGCAGAAAACUGAGGGCUUAAAAACACACAGGAGGUGAUGAGGGAGAAAGGAAACAGCUGGGGAACACGGGGCACAGAGGCCAGAGGGUUCCAUCAGAUCCUCCACGAUGAAAGAGCAAGCCCCCCCUGAACCCUGAGGAGCAGCUCUGAGGGGUCACUGUGCUGAGAAGGAGAGGAUCCACUGCUUUGUUCAGCUGUGUGAGAGUGCAGGACUGAAGCAGCUGACUCCAAACCAGAGGAGAGCUCAACAUGAGGACCAAACUACAGAAACUCCAGGCUCUAAAACAGCCCACAGACAGUUUCCUGUUAACAGUUUCAUGAUGAUACUUUGUGCUGUUUACACUUGUGAAAUAUUCACUGUUGCUAAAAUAAAUCUUAUUCGUGUCAUUUGAAAUGACGUGUCACCAUAUUUAGUGAAAGACCUCCAGCUGCUCUCUUAAAGCCCUCCUACAGGCUCAGACUCUGGUCCUACAUCCACGUCAGGUUCUGUGCGUUAUAAUAAUUAUCUGUAUGAUCGGUUUCACUUUGUGCUCCGGCUGUUUCCUUUUUCUGCCAUGACAGCAGCUGAGACCGGUUUGAAUCUGGAGGUCCUGCUGACCUUUCAUGGUCCUCACAUUUAGAUGAGGUCACACAAGAUACCUAACAGCUAGUAACUGCCUGAACUAACCGUGAACUACAGUAUGAACCUCUGUUAAUACUCAUAAAUAACUGUCUCAUUUAUGAUUGGUAUAAAUGUGCCUCUCAUUACUUUUGUUAAUCAUUUACAUAUAGAUCCAUACAAAUCCAUAAACCAGACCCAAAAUAACUAGUUUGUACUUGAUGUAAAACUUUAUUUCGAUAUAGCUAAUCCAUUAUUUAAAAAGUAUAAAAAUGCUGUCAUUAAACAUGUUAUAUAUGAGCUUAUUAAGCAUGACUAAAGUGUUGC